rnacentral:rRNA from 1 species
GGGAACCUCACCCGGCCCGGACACCGCGAGGAUUGACAGACUGAGAGCUCUUUCUCGAUUCGGUGGGUGGUGGUGCAUGGCCGUUCUUAGUUGGUGGAGCGAUCUGUCUGGUUAAUUCCGAUAACGAACGAGACCCCAACCUGCUAACUAGCCCUCGGGUCCUGCUUCUGUUGGGCCCGACGGAAUGAUUCGCUUCUUAGAGGGACUCGCGGCGCCUAGCCGCACGAGGGGGGCAAUAA